rnacentral:rRNA from 1 species
CUCGUAGGUGGCCAACUAAGUCAGACGUGAAAUCCCUCGGCUUAACCGGGGAACUGCGUCUGAUACUGGAUGGCUUGAGUUCGGGAGAGGGAUGCGGAAUUCCAGGUGUAGCGGUGAAAUGCGUAGAUAUCUGGAGGAACACCGGUGGCGAAGGCGGCAUCCUGGACCGACACUGACACUGAGGAGCGAAAGCCAGGGGAGCAAACG